AGGCUGAGCCUGUGGGGAGAGCUUCUGAUUCUGCUUUACUUCUGAAAACACAUUGUCUCUUUCUACAGACCCUGUAAUAAUGACUGCAGUGAUGCUCCUGAGUGUUGGUGAUGAAAUGAAGGUUUCAUAGCGUUGCAGCCAGAAGAUCUCUUGGCUGAACUGCAGGCCAGGUGUCACAGUUUUAUGUGGUGUAAAUGAUACUCUCAUUACCCAGAUGGUCUAAGAAGGCAACAGCUUCUGGGAGGUAAAUGCUAUUUAAUUCUCUACAUCCCGG
rnacentral:lncRNA from 1 species